UAAAAAAAAAAAAAGGCACGACGGAUAAUACGAGGCGCUACGCUUCUCGCUCAUCUUCUUCCACCUUUCUUCACCAUCGUUUCUGCGUCUCCCUCCCUCCCUUCCUUUACUAUACGUUACUCGGUAUCAUCUCUUCAUCUCCCUACGCCCCUUCCAUCAUCCCCUCUUCAAAUGAUACACUUAUAUUCAAUUUUUUUUCCUCCGCUGUUGUUGCUGGUCAAUCAGCCGGCCCCCUACUACUCUUCAUAGAUGGAAAGAUGAUACAGACCCUGCCGUGUACUCCGAGACGAUUGUAGAGUGUUCAUGGGAUCAGGAUGAGAAAGUCUGGGUACGCGAGUCAGGGUGGAUAAAUCAACGCCAAAUGAUAUCAACACUUAGAGAAAGAUGUUGCAGGCCAGAUAUGGGCCGUCCAAGGCUCCACUCUCAACAACGUCACCGUUGUUGUCGUCCUAGACCCGUAAGCCCUCAUCAACCAUUUCAUAUGUGGUGGUGUAUUUGUCUUUGUGGGAUGAUGCUUUUAGGGGACACUUGAACUCCACUGAUGUAACUCUGUCAGUUAUGGUUCUCACCACGGUCUAUCCAAAAAUAUUUGUUGGUAACCUGUAUCUUAACUCAACUCAACUCCGGCCACCAAGUUCUACUUUGACACCACCAUCCCCGCCAUUGAAGCAUUCACAGAGAGGUUUGUGACGCAAAUGUUCAACACCUAGCUUGAGAGUGUGCAGCAGAAAUCGUUUUCACACGUGUGGAAACCAUGGAGGGGGGAAUUAAAAAGAAAGAGCUUGUGACAAUUGGUGAUCUUCAUGCCUAUCUGUCCAACUCCAACGACCAUAGCCAGGAAGCAGAUUUUCUCUGUCAAGCUAGGAUUGUCAACGUCUUUCAGCAGAAUGGCUGGUCUUAUGUCUCUUGCACCGGUUGCAGACGGAAGUUGCAAAGUGUGGCACCUCUCUACGCUGCAACAGAUGUGUUUCACCCAAUGUCACUGGAGUCAAAGACUCACCCAUGUCCAACAAAACGCUCCAAAUUGUUAAUGAUCAUAACAACUUGAGGCUAUUUUACGCAGCUUCUGUGUAGAGCUGUCCGUUGAAGAUGGCAAAGACAGUGUCACAUUUUUGGUGUUUGAUACCGAGUUGUCUAAACUAAACAAAAUGAAAGCACCACCCUAUCUUUGGAGGAGAAACCACUAUCGGCUACCGCCACUGGGGAUUCCUUCAGCAAUGCCAAGUAAGUUGAUGAAGCAAAACUUCCAAGCUUGGCUGAGGAAGAGAAGACUUGCAAACGCCCCCGUGAAUGAUUGGUCGGAGUCCAGCAAACCGUCAACCCCACUUAGCUUUCAUGUGUUUUCACUUUUCUAAAUUCCUAUGUUUUUCUUUUUUUGAGCAAAAAAUCCUAUCUUUUCCAAUUUCUGAGUUUUCGUAUUGUUUCAAAAUUUCUGCAAACUAUCACCCACUAAGGUUAGCAUUUACUUUUUUUUUUAUUAAUUUAUGGGGAACAUUGAAGAGUAUUAGUAUUUUCUAUGUCCACUUA